GUGGCCGGCAAUGCGUCCAGGUUAACCGAUGGGCGCUCAGUGCCUUCCAUAUCUCACAGAUCGUCGGUUCUUCCUCUUCGAGAUGGCUCGAUUUGGUGGAUGGAUUCAGUUCCUGAUCUCCUUCCUCCGAGUUCUGAUGGAGAGGCCCGUUCCCAACGAGGUUCAGCUCGCUUUCUGAAGCUAGGUCGCUGAUUAAUUAGAUGGCCUGGUUUGGUAGCUGGAUUCGAUUGGCGAUCUUCAUCCUGCGAAUUUUUACGGAGAGGUCCGCUUCGAGCGAGCUCCUACUCGUCAUCUGAAUUCCAAGUUCGCACAGAUGGUUGAGCCACACUUAAAGAUACAAACUCAGAAGAC